rnacentral:rRNA from 1 species
AUUGAACGCUGGCGGCAUGCCUUACACAUGCAAGUCGAACGGCAGCACGGGUGCUUGCACCUGGUGGCGAGUGGCGAACGGGUGAGUAAUACAUCGGAACAUGUCCUGUAGUGGGGGAUAGCCCGGCGAAAGGCGGAUUAAUACCGCAUACGAUCUACGGAUGAAAGCGGGGGACCUUCGGGCCUCGCGCUAUAGGGUUGGCCGAUGGCUGAUUAGCUAGUUGGUGGGGUAAAGGCCUACCAAGGCGACGAUCAGUAGCUGGUCUGAGAGGACGACCAGCCACACUGGGACUGAGACACGGCCCAGACUCCUACGGGAGGCAGCAGUGGGGAAUUUUGGACAAUGGGCGAAAGCCUGAUCCAGCAAUGCCGCGUGUGUGAAGAAGGCCUUCGGGUUGUAAAGCACUUUUGUCCGGAAAGAAAUCCUUGGCCCUAAUACGGUCGGGGGAUGACGGUACCGGAAGAAUAAGCACCGGCUAACUACGUG